CUGCACUGGAGCCGAAGGGAAUCUGGAAAGGCCUGGACUUGGCUUCAUGUUAGUUUCUGACGAACCAGCUUUAGCUGCUGGCGUGUGGAGGGCUGGUGACAGAGACUGCUGCAGUCAGCUCGUGACCACAGGGGGACAACCCAGAAGACAAAGGCCUGCACACGGAGACUCCAGAGCAGAAAGAGCCCGGUGAUGUCCCCGAGCCCCUGAUCUUGUUGGUCCUAGGAUCGUCCAUCUUGGGAUUAUGAUUUCAUAGAUAAUAAAUACAGUUUUACAGUUUGAGUAAA